rnacentral:rRNA from 1 species
AAUGAACGUUGGCGGCGUGGAUUAGGCAUGCAAGUCGGACGGCCGGGGGGCAACUCCCGGUCGUGGCGUAAGGGUGAGCAAGACGACGGCAACCAACCCCGAGGUCGGGCAUAGCCGCCCGAAAGGGCGGGUAAUUCCCGGCGGUCUGGCGGGCCGGCCUCGGCCUGUCAGUAAAGGUGUGAUUCCGCCUCGGGACGGGCCGUCGUGGUAUCAGGUUGUUGGUGGGGUCACGGCCCACCAAGCCGAGGACGCCUACCGGGCGUGCGAGCGUGGCCCGGCACACUGGGACUGAGACACUGCCCAGACACCUACGGGUGGCUGCAGUCGAGAAUCUUCGGCAAUGGGCGCAAGCCUGACCGAGCGACGCCGCGUGGAGGAUGAAGGCCCUCGGGUUGUAAACUCCUGUCGAGGGGGACCAAGGGCGGGUGCAGAGCCCGCCGUGAGGGAACCCUGGAGGAAGCACGGGCUAAGUUCGUGCCAGCAGCCGCAGUAAAAC